AUUGAACGCUGGCGGCAGGCCUAACACAUGCAAGUCGAGCGGCAGCGGAAAGUAGCUUGCUACUUUGCCGGCGAGCGGCGGACGGGUGAGUAAUGUCUGGGAAACUGCCUGAUGGAGGGGGAUAACUACUGGAAACGGUAGCUAAUACCGCAUAACGUCGCAAGACCAAAGAGGGGGACCUUCGGGCCUCUUGCCAUCAGAUGUGCCCAGAUGGGAUUAGCUAGUAGGUGGGGUAAUGGCUCACCUAGGCGACGAUCCCUAGCUGGUCUGAGAGGAUGACCAGCCACACUGGAACUGAGACACGGUCCGGACUCCUACGGGAGGCAGCAGUGGGGAAUAUUGCACAAUGGGCGCAAGCCUGAUGCAGCCAUGCCGCGUGUAUGAAGAAGGCCUUCGGGUUGUAAAGUACUUUCAGCGGGGAGGAAGGUGUUGAGGUUAAUAACCUCAGCAAUUGACGUUACCCGCAGAAGAAGCACCGGCUAACUCCGUGCCAGCCGCCGCCGUAAAAC
rnacentral:rRNA from 1 species